rnacentral:snRNA from 1 species
ACAAAGCAUUGCGAUGGUCCC